rnacentral:rRNA from 1 species
CAAACUGGAGAUGGCGACCGGCGCACGGGUGAGUAACACGUAUCCAACCUGCCGAUAACUCGGGGAUAGCCUUUCGAAAGAAAGAUUAAUACCCGAUGGCAUAGUUCUUCCGCAUGGUAGAACUAUUAAAGAAUUUCGGUCAUCGAUGGGGAUGCGUUCCAUUAGGUUGUUGGCGGGGUAACGGGCCCACCAAGCCUUCGAUGGAUAGGGGUUCUGAGAGGAAGGUCCCCCACAUUGGAACUGAGACACGGUCCAAACUCCUACGGGAGGCAGCAUG